CCUACGGGGGGCAGCAGUAGGGAAUAUUGCGCAAUGGGGGAAACCCUGAAGCAGCAACGCCGCGUGGAGGAUGAAGGUUUUCGGAUUGUAAACUCCUUUUGUUAGAGAAGAUAAUGACGGUAUCUAACGAAUAAGCACCGGCUAACUCCGUACCAGCAGCCGCGGUAAUACGGAGGGUGCAAGCGUUACUCGGAAUCACUGGGCGGAAAGAGCGCGUAGGCGGGAUAGCAAGUCAGAUGUGAAAUCCUAUGGCUUAACCAUGGAACUGCAUUUGAAACUGUUAUUCUAGAGUAUGGGAGAGGUAGGUGGAAUUCCUGGUGUAGGGGUGAAAUGCGUAGAGAUCAAGAGGAAUACUCGUGGCGAAGGCGACCUGCUAGACCAUAACUGACGCUGAGGCGCGAAAGCGUGGGGAGCAAACAGGAUUAGAUACCCGGGUAGUC
rnacentral:rRNA from 1 species